rnacentral:rRNA from 1 species
AUUUUUUUUUAGGAAUGGGUUAUUUCUUACUAACAUCGGAUAACUGUUGGUAAUUCUAGAGCUAAUACAUGCAAUCAAGCCCCGACUUCCGGAAGGGGUGUAUUUAUUAGAUAAAAAACCAACGCGGCUCGCCGCUCCCUUGGUGAUUCAUAAUAACUUCUCGAAUCUCAUGGCCUUGUGCCGGCGAUGCUUCAUUCAAAUAUCUGCCCUAUCAACUUUCGAUGGUAGGAUAGUGGCCUACCAUGGUUUCAACGGGUAACGGGGAAUAAGGGUUCGAUUCCGGAGAGGGAGCCUGAGAAACGGCUACCACAUCCAAGGAAGGCAGCAGGCGCGCAAAUUACCCAAUCCCGACACGGGGAGGUAGUGACAAUAAAUAACAAUAUAGGGCUCUUUUGGGUCUUAUAAUUGGAAUGAGUACAAUUUAAAUCCCUUAACGAGGAACAAUUGGAGGGCAAGUCUGGUGCCAGCAGCCGCGGUAAUUCCAGCUCCAAUAGCGUAUAUUAAAGUUGUUGCAGUUAAAAAGCUCGUAGUUGAACUUCAGACCUGGCUGGGCGGUCCGCCUAACGGCGUGUACUGUCUGGCUGGGCCUUACCUCUUGGUGAGCCGGCGUGCCCUUUAUUGGUGUGCGUCGGGGAACCAGGACUUUUACCUUGAGAAAAUUAAAGUGUUCAAAGCAGGCCUUUUGCCCCGAAUACAUUAGCAUGGAAAUAAUAAAAUAGACGUGCGGUCUAUUUUGUGGUUUUCUAGAGUCGCCGUAAUGAUUAAUAAGGGAUAGUUGGGGGCAUUUGUAUUG